rnacentral:misc_RNA from 1 species
GUACCCUCAAGCUUUGCUUGGUGUUGGGUGUUUGUCCUCUCCCUCGCGUUUGGACUCGCCUUAAAACAAUUGGCAGCCAGUAUUUUGGUAAUGAAGCGCAGCACAUUUUGCGAUUCUAGCCUAUAAUACUUGCGUCCACAAGCCUUUUUUAAC